rnacentral:tRNA from 1 species
AAAGACUUAGCUUAGUUAAAGUGACUGAUUUGCACUCAGUAGAUAUAGGUAUAUAACCUGUAGUCUUUA